rnacentral:rRNA from 1 species
UACGUAGGGGGCUAGCGUUGUCCGGAAUCAUUGGGCGUAAAGAGCGCGUAGGCGGCCAGAUAAGUCCGGUGUGAAAGCCAAAGGCUCAACCUUUGAAUGGCGCUGGAAACUGUCUGGCUAGAGUCCGGGAGGGGCGAGUGGAAUUCCUGGUGUAGCGGUGAAAUGCGCAGAUAUCGGGAGGAACACCAAUGGCGAAGGCAGCUCGCUGGAACGGUACUGACGCUGAGGCGCGAAAGCGUGGGGAGCGAACAGG